GAUGAACGCUGGCGGCGUGCUUAACACAUGCAGGUCGAACGGGAAACCUUUUAUUGAAGCUUCGGCAGAUUUAGCUGGUUUCUAGUGGCGGACGGGUGAGUAACGCGUGGGUAACCUGCCUUAUACAGGGGGAUAACAACCAGAAAUGGUUGCUAAUACCGCAUAAGCGCACAGGACCGCAUGGUCCGGUGUGAAAAACUCCGGUGGUAUAAGAUGGACCCGCGUUGGAUUAGCUAGAUGGUGAGGUAACGGCCCACCAUGGCGACGAUCGGUAGCCGGACUGAGAGGUUGAACGGCCACAUUGGGACUGAGACACGGCCCAGACUCCUACGGGAGGCAGCAGUGGGGGAUAUUGCACAAUGGGGGGAACCCUGGAUGCAGCGACGCCGCGUGUA
rnacentral:rRNA from 1 species